GGGGGAUUUCUUUUUUUUUGUUGUAAUUUUUGCUGAAUUUGAGGGGGUGGUAGUGGCGCUAGUCAGUGGGGGGAGAUGCUGGACCUUGGGUUUUGGACAGUGGUUGCGCAUGUAUUGCCAAUGUUCCUGGGAAGACAUUGAGAAACACGUAACAACAAAAACAGUUCUUAGUAACUGGGAGGACGAGAUAGGAAAUAAUCUGAGCGAGCAUUGUCCAGGUAUUGAUAAUGUUUUGUUUUUUUCUCGUCGUAACGUGCUGUAAACGAGGCCAUCAUUACUUGGCAUGCCCACCUGUGACUGGCAGAUGGUCGGUUGACAAGACCUCCAUCGAGAAAGAAGUGGGUUCAAAAAACCAUCAUUACAAUACGCAAACACUCGCACAGCGACCUGUCGACGACGGAGGCGGCUCCCGCCGCUCCAGGUGGGAAAAACCAAAAACAGAACCAGCCACCGCAACGAGCCCACCUUGUGACGUUGCACAUAAACGCGGCCCAGACCAGACGGCCUUUGAAGGAAAGUGAGGCUCAGCUAUUUCAGCCUUAUCCAAUGUGAUCCGGCUCUUUAUCUCUCACAGGGAAAAUGGAGUCUCGCACCGACCGAAAAAGAAAAACAAAAUUCGUGCGUACAGACGUUCUCAUUUUUUUUUUUUUUGAAGCUUCUUGUCCCCCAUAUUUCAGACGAGCGUCUGGACUGAAAUGAAAAUAAGAACGAAAAUGUCUUCAUAUAAAAGCGAGAGAUCGUGACUGCUGGAUUGUGAUGGGCCACUGCAUAACACGAGUAAAAGAAAUACAGACAUUUUGCUAAUA